UACGUAGGCAGCAAACGUUGUUCGGAAUUACUGGGCGUAAAGAGUGUGUAGGCGGCUUUGUAAGUUCUGUGUGAAAUCUCCCGGCUCAACUGGGAGGGUGCGCCGAAAACUGCGAGGCUUGAGUACUGGAGAGGAUAGCGGAAUUCCUGGUGUAGCGGUGAAAUGCGUAGAUAUCAGGAGGAACACCGGCGGUGUAGACGGCUAUCUGGACAGUAACUGACGCUGAGACACGAAAGCGUGGGGAGCAAACAGG
rnacentral:rRNA from 1 species